CCUACGGGAGGUAGCAGUGAGGAAUAUUGGUCAAUGGACGAGAGUCUGAACCAGCCAAGUAGCGUGAAGGAUGACUGCCCUAUGGGUUGUAAACUUCUUUUAUAUGGGAAUAAAAUGUUCCACGUGUGGGAUUUUGUAUGUACCAUAUGAAUAAGGAUCGGCUAACUCCGUGCCAGCAGCCGCGGUAAUACGGAGGAUCCGAGCGUUAUCCGGAUUUAUUGGGUUUAAAGGGAGCGUAGGUGGAUUGUUAAGUCAGUUGUGAAAGUUGUCGGCUCAACCGUAAAAUUGCAGUUGAAACUGGCAGUCUUGAGUACAGUAGAGGUGGGCGGAAUUCGUGGUGUAGCGGUGAAAUGCGUAGAUAUCACGAAGAACUCCGAUUGCGAAGGCAGUUCACUGGACUGCAACUGACACUGAGGCUCGAAAGUGUGGGUAUCAAACAGGAUUAGAUACCCGUGUAGUC
rnacentral:rRNA from 1 species